GCCUGAGGGAAGUCGAAAUGAUAUAUUGUUACGUGAGGCUGAAUUCCUACAUGAAACACAGGAAGAUGCACGAUUUAUCUCUGCACAGCUGGACAUUUGGAGAUCUUGUAAUUUCUUUCGUAAAUGAAGGAUUCAGUAUGCCAAGGAUCAAAUACCAUGACUAAGGAGUUCAUUGAUAAGGUUGUUGUAGUACUCCAGUCCCUUUGGAUUGACAGCUCCUCGGCCAUCUUCAUGGAUUGCAAACAGAAGUCAGAAUAAGCCUAGGCCAGGCAAUGGAAAAUCUGUACGCAUCGACGCCCAUCUCGCUCAAAAGCUUUACGUCUUCCUGGUGGUUUAUCAUAUCACAUCAGCAGUGGCUCCAUCAGCAGAGUAGCCUGUGCAUGUUAAAACUCCAUGUUAUAAUUCACAAUGCGAUAAUGUGUGGCAGAUUCAGGCUGACAGUGUGUGGAUGAAAUUAACCUGAGUGUGUGAACGUGUCCCAGAUGCUGGGUUUUCUUCCGUCCUCUGCAACUGCGCCUUCAAUCUGGAAAAUCAGCCGAAUGUUCAGGCCGGUACGUACAACAAACUACUCCCUCUGUCCCAUAAUAUAAGAGUGUUUUUUACACUACAAUUGUGUCAAAAACGCUCUUAUAUUAUGGGACGGAGGGAGUAUUUUAUACAAACCCUGAUUUUUGUUUUACCUGUCGUCCGAAUUCUGAUGAUUCAAACAGCAGAGUCCUAAGGGCAAAGGCAGUUAAUUUCGACCAUUCUCUCUAUCAAUAAUACUCCUUGAGGUCCAAAUUUUGAGCAUUCUCUCUAAAACCGGCAGUCUCAAGAGCAAACGCCGAGUUAUAGUUUGGACCCAUUUUCUUAGUUUUGACCCCUUUUUGGACUCUCGGGUCCUAAUCCCUAACAACAUAAAUGGAUCACCAUUUAUUCCCCUGCAUUCUUCAGAGUUUCAGGCUAUUUACGGUUCCAAUCCUACCAUCACCAUUACUGCAUCACACCACCGCCAAUUUGCCGUUUUCACUGAUUAAGAUACUCCGUUUAGCUCCAGCCAAAAACAGAAAGAAGUGGCCAAAAGAGGAAUUGACCUGGUGACAUCGAAAUG